rfam:Ipomoea nil DNA, scaffold: scaffold1237, cultivar: Tokyo-kokei standard.
GUGGGCAUGCCGGAGUGGUUAACGGGCAUGACUCGAAAUCAUGUAGGUUUUGCCCUCACAGGUUCAAAUCCUGCUGCUCACG